UCGACUUGGAUAGUUAUUUCUAUAAUUACUAUAAUCCAGCAAUAACAGGACAAAUGAAAGCUACCACAACAGGAAGGAAUUAAAAACCGCAAUCAUUUUGUUGCCAUUUUUGUUAUUGCCAUAGGUGGUAAGAUUGAUUUCCUUUUUGAAUCCAAGGAACUGAGCUAUAAAUGACCCUUCCAAGGUGAACAGAGGGAGAACGCCUUCUAUGCAGUCAGCAUUCUCUACCAUCCAUUCUGUUAGACUGCAGGUCUGCAAGGAAAAGGGCCUACCUGCAAUUGUAGAAACACAUAUUGGGAUGGAGGCCCAUGAAAUGCUAAGCAUUCCAGACCACUGAUAGAGGACAGCAGAUUUCAUAUGCACAAGAGGUAGGGUCUUGCUCUGUCACCCAGACUGGAGUGCAGUGGCAUGUUCUCAGC